CGAGGUGUAGCGCAGUCUGGUAGCGCAUCUGUUUUGGGUACAGAGGGCCAUAGGUUCGAAUCCUGUCACCUCGA
rnacentral:tRNA from 6 species